UCCCUCCAAUUCCUUAACCCUCAAACCUAUAAUGAAUGAUGGUCGGAGUGGCUGGAAACGGAGGAAAAGUAAAGCUGAACUGGGCUCAGAGUCUUUAGUGACAAGGACGCUCAUGUCAAACAAAC
rnacentral:snoRNA from 1 species